rnacentral:rRNA from 1 species
GACGAACCGAGCGAACGUUGUUCGGAAUCACUGGGCUUAAAGGGUGCGUAGGCGGGCCUGUAAGUGUCCUGUGAAAUCCCCCGGCUCAACCGGGGAACUGCGGGGCAUACUGCGGGUCUUGAGGAAGGUAGGCGCCGAGGGAACAGUAGGUGGAGCGGUGAAAUGCGUAGAUAUCUACUGGAACGCCGAUGGUGAAGACGCUCGGCUGGGCCUUUCCUGACGCUGAGGCACGAAAGCGUGGGGAGCAAACAGG